rnacentral:rRNA from 1 species
AUUGAACGCUGGCGGCAUGCUUUACACAUGCAAGUCGAACGGUAACAGGCCGCAAGGUGCUGACGAGUGGCGAACGGGUGAGUAAUGCAUCGGAACGUGCCCAGUCGUGGGGGAUAACGCAGCGAAAGCUGCGCUAAUACCGCAUACGAUCUAUGGAUGAAAGCGGGGGACCGAAAGGCCCCGCGCGAUUGGAGCGGCCGAUGUCAGAUUAGGUAGUUGGUGGGGUAAAAGCUCACCAAGCCAACGAUCUGUAGCUGGUCUGAGAGGACGACCAGCCACACUGGGACUGAGACACGGCCCAGACUCCUACGGGAGGCAGCAGUGGGGAAUUUUGGACAAUGGGCGCAAGCCUGAUCCAGCAAUGCCGCGUGCAGGAAGAAGGCCUUCGGGUUGUAAACUGCUUUUGUACGGAACGAGACGGUCCGGGUUAAUACCCUGGGCUAAUGACGGUACCGUAAGAAUAAGCACCGGCUAACUACGUGCCAGCAGCAGCCGCCGUAA